AUAUAAAUCCCCUGGGAUCUUGUAAAAAUGCAGACUCUGACUUAGUGGAGCUAGAGAAGGGCCUGAAAUUCUGCAUUUCUAGCAAGCUCCCAAGUGAUGCCAGC
rnacentral:pre_miRNA from 1 species